AUCCAGCUGAUGAGUCUCAAAUAGGACGAAACACACGUUCUGGAU
rnacentral:hammerhead_ribozyme from 1 species